rnacentral:rRNA from 1 species
UGGAUCUGAAAUCAGGUAGGGAUACC